rnacentral:sRNA from 1 species
AUCAAACUAGAGAGGAAUUAGAGA